UCAGACGGGGUGCACACUAACACUAACUAACACUAAAAAAGGUGUAAAUAACACUUUUAGAAUAAGUUUAGAAUAAGUUUAGAAUUUCUUGGCUUCUGACGGCUUUGAUGACACAGGACGAGUUGUAUGCUUUUUUUGUUUUAAAAUAUUUUUAAAAUUCAAAUAAUAAUAAUAAUAAUAAUAAUAAUAAUAAUAAUAAUUUUAUACAAUGAAAUACAAUAACAUUUAACAAUAAUCCUGGCUGUGUAAAAACUUCAUCCAUGUUGGUAACCGUGCAGUUGACAGGCUCAGACAUCCUGCUGUUAGUCUACUGUAAACCUAUCCAUUAAUAAUUGGCAGACUUAAGUCCCAAUAAUCAAAACAAACACUGUAUGUUUGCAUUAUAAAUUACUAUAUUAUAAAAGACUACCAAAUCUUUUGCAGUUACAUUUUCACAGGUCUGUCACAGUGUCAUAGUUUGUGACAGUACCAUCAGGGAGUGCCAAUGUUUGAAGAAGAGCCUACAUCAUCCUCCAUGGACAGUAAAACAUAUUCUGUCAAAUAAAAGCUGAUAGUUUCUCAUGCUGCCUCUUAAAUAUACAGUCCCCUCCAAAACUAUUGGAACAGCAAGUCCAAUUGGUUUGCUUCCUUUUUUUUUUGCUGUACAUUGAAAACAUUUGGGUUUGACGCCAAAAGAUGUAUACGAGACAAGAGAUCAGUAUGUCAGCUUCCAUUUCCAGGUAUUUGCAUCCAGAUUUGUAAAAAAAAAAAGAAAAAAAGAAAAGAAAUUCAGAAGAUAGCACCAUUAGAUUGAAGCCACCCAUGUUUUAAGUCAGCAGAAUUCUUGGAACAUGUGACUGACAGGUGUUUUUUGCUGCACAGGUGUGUCCAAUCACAUUAUUAUUACUCAAACAAUAAAUAGUGUUGAAUGUCUACUCUCAGUUUCAGCUUUGAGUUUUGCCACUGCAGGCUGUAUUUAUAGUUACAGUACAUGUACAGUACAAAACACUGUGAGAGCUGUUAAGAAAACCCCUAAAACAACUGUCAGUGACAUCAUCAAAAGCCUCUAGCAGGCAGGAGUGAAGAUGUGUAUCGUCUCUGGGUCGGAGAUGCCGUGCUGUCCCGCCUGGUCGUCCAGCAGGUCAAAGAAGUAUUUGACAGCCAGCGGGACAGGACGACUGGUGCUGAGGAUCACUGUGAACAGGCGGGUCAGGUAUAUCUCAGGGAUGGCCUUGGCCCUCUCUCUCUCCCUCAGGCUGCCUCUGCGGUGUUUGGGCAGCUCAGGCUCCUCACUGGCUUUCACCAGGUGCCACAGCCUCACUCCACCUUCAUCUGCAUCCUCCAGCAUUGGAGUCUCUGCACAGGAUUCUCACCCAGGUCCAGAGAGUCAGCGUGGGGCCUAUGGGAGAAGGAGGUGCCCUUGUACACCUGAUCCAACAGCUUCUCUUUCACCUGUGUGAUGGUGUCACAGUCCAGCACUUUGGAGGGCAGUGGCUG